AUUUAUACGGUACCUUCUAUCUGUUCUGCUGACAAUUCUGCAAUAGGUUGAACAAAGAAUAAGUUUCUGCGAUUUCUUGACCGAAGAAAUAUGCAUGGCCUAUCUUUCAAACUGAUAUUUUAUCUACAAACUCCAUAACUGAGAGUUGUAAGGUUAUGUACUGUCACAUCUUGACAUUGACCUUUGUGACACAAAUUAAGCAGUCAAUAGCUUCGCCAUUGUGGUUGUGUACUUAUUGCAUUUCUUCUCGUUAGAGUUUAAUUUUUUUGUUGUAAUCAUUGUUUUAUGAAGCAAUUAACCUAAAUGAGUCCUUCCUUUUUCUCUCCAGAGGUUUAUAUGUGAUGGACCGUAAAGUCUUUAGUUUAAUUAUUGUUUCUCUUUUUAAG